rnacentral:rRNA from 1 species
GACGUAGGGCGCGAGCGUUGUCCGGAUUUAUUGGGCGUAAAGAGCUCGUAGGCGGCUUGUUGCGUCGACUGUGAAAACCUGCAGCUUAACUGUGGGCUUGCGGUCGAUACGGGCAUCACUGGAGUUCGGCAGGGGAGACUGGAAUUCCUGGUGUAGCGGUGAAAUGCGCAGAUAUCAGGAAGAACACCCGUGGCGAAGGCGGCUCUCUGGGACGGUACUGACGCUGAGACGCGAAAGCGUGGGGAGCGAACAGG